CUCGCCUCCCACAGAACCAGCCAAUGCUGGAAGAUGCCCCAGCUUCCUUGUUCAGAAGAUGCCGUCACCACGCCUGAGCGUCACUUCCAGGGGCAGCUGGCAGAAGUGCAGCCAGGGUCCUUAGCCGCUGAGACUACACACAAAGGCCACCUCUGCCCACCGCGGGGAGGCCCCCAGUCUGGAGCACACAAGCUACCUGAGCCCGCGAAAUGGGAACAGCUGCAUCCACCUAGAGGUGGUGGGCAGGGGAGCCUGAGAUGAGGCUCUGAGAGGCUCCACCACUCCACCUGCAGCCCCAAAAGAGAGGCAGCGCUGGGACAGACGCUGGCCUGUCCCUCACUGUCUCUCCUGCACAGUUACAGCCUCAAAGAGUACUCUGUCUACUUGCUGGUCCAGUCCAAGAAAAGUGGCCUCAAAAGAGGCCACUCGCCAGCUCCUGACCAAAUGGUGAGGAGGAGAAAUUGGGGCCUCGACUUCCACACCAGGUCCUGCUCAUCCUCAGAACCGGGCCUAGACUUCCACACGAGGUCCUGCUCAUCCUCGGAACGGAGCCUCGACUUCCACACCAGGUCCUGCUCAUCCUCAGAACCAGGCCUAGACUUCCACACCAGGUCCUGCUCAUCCUCGGAACGGAGCCUAGACUUCCACACCAGGUCCUGCUCAUCCUUGGAACCAGGCCUAGACUUCCACACCAGGUCCUGCUCAUCCUCGAAACCCCGCAACCCUGCUUGGGUUAUCUGGG
rnacentral:lncRNA from 1 species